UUUAUUCCUCCGUCCUGGAAGCUCCUCAUCUUUUUGAGCAAUUGAUUUGGAGAAAUGGACUACAUGUCAAUUUACCAGUACAUUAUUUAGAUUUAUUUUAAGUCAUAAAAUUCAACUUUGACAUUAAGUAGGAAACGAAAUAUGAAAAGGUGGUGAAAACUUUAAGUUAAAGAUAAAUUGACUAUCUAUA
rnacentral:sRNA from 12 species